CAAGGAUUUUCAGGGUUGUAGGUGACCAAAAAGGGGACCUAUACAAGGUAGUCAGCGGGGGGGAAAAUUUUUAACUUUUUGGUCAAAAGGGCAAUGAAAAAAAUAGACUUUUGUGUAAAAAAAACAAACUACAUAGUGAAUGAGACACAGAGGUUUAACUCUUUUUUUUCUUUUUCUUUUUUUUUUUUUUGAGACAAAGUCUCCAGGGUCUCACUCUUGUCACCUAGGCUUGAGUACAGUGGUGCAAUCACAGCACAGCUCACUGCAGCCUCAACCUCCCAGGCUUGGGUGAUCCUCCCACCUCAGCCUCCCAAGUAACAGGGACUACAGGCAUACACCACCAUGCCCUGCUAAUUUUUUUGUAAUUUUUGUAAAGACAGGGUGUCACCAUAUUGCCCAGGCUGGUCUGGAACUCCUGGACUCAAGCAAUCUGCAAGCCUUGGCCUCCCAAAGUGAUGGGACUACAAGCGUGAGCCAUGGCGCCUGGCUAGGUUUAACAUUUAACAGUCUAAAUAGUAGCUACAUACAAAGUUAUCUCACCUACCAAAAAAUUUAGAGGCAG
rnacentral:lncRNA from 10 species